rnacentral:lncRNA from 1 species
UGUGAAACUUAUUUAGUUUUUAUUUUUUUUCUAAUUUUAUAAUUUUAAUUUUUUCAUGUAAGAGAUUCGAACAACUUGUACUUCAAAAUUUCUUUUUCAUUUUGGCAGUUUCUCCUUUUUGCAAUUGGUGCUUGAUCACUAAUGGUAACAUCUUUUUUUCUUCAAGUGAUUAUGGUGUUUUAGGUGCUUAAUUUGCCAAGCACCGAGUCAACAAUGGUGGGUGAGUCCUCACUUACCUUUAAACGUUGUCACUAAAUGUUGUUGGUAAGGAAGAUCACGGAUAUUAGGUACCUUUUAUGACCAUAUUUGUUUCAUUUUCCUAAGCAUUUGGUGGCUACACAAUGGGAGUAUUCAUGAUGGACUGAGAGGGAAGAGGCGGUUUUGGGGAAACCUUACUACUCCAAAAAUUUUUAUAAAAAAUCUAGUUUUACUAGUAGUAUUAGAAAUGAUAUUAUAAAAUUAUGUAGUUACCCACUUCAAGGAAAAAUAAUAUUGUGUUUUAUGUGUAAGUUAUAAAUUUUGUAUUUUUAACGACAUUGACUUCCAAAACUAAAAUCUUGGCAUUCGACCUCGGAUUUUGUCAUUUUUUUUUCAUGAAAUAACUUUUCCAUUGAAACAAAUUGUGAUAACGAGUUGCCAUAAAAUAUUAGUUAACAAAGCUUAAAAUCUUUUGCCUUUUAUCUGUCAUAGAAUGUUGUACAUUAUUCUCGAUAUAUUCCAUUUACAUACUCUGGAAAUCAUUAACUCUUAAGGAAAUAUUACAAAAUAACCUUAAGGAUCUGACCUUUAAAAAUUUAACUUGGUUUUUUAAAUUGAACAAAUUAAAUCGUGAACUUUUUAUUCCGUCACAAUUUGAAUCCUCUAUUUAUGUAACUUCACUACAACUGUUGAAACAAUUGGAGAAAUGACUAAUGGACAACUGUCCGGGUUUGCGAGUGUAUAUGGGUAAGUAGAUCUCCUUUGGUCUGCUUCGAGGUUGUUGAGUUGCAUCUACCAUAUCGAGUAUGCAGACAGUUUGGGUUUAGACAGGUUUGGUACCCGGUGGCUGUUGAUCCUCACCCUGCAAUUGCCUGGUAUUGACAUGAGGGGAUGACACAUACUGAAUGGACUCAGUUUUCCAUCGAAAGCACAUCGACCACUGGCAUCAUAGGCGUGAGUAUCUUGUAGUUUGGGUGUCAUUUGAUGUUUUGCCGCUAUGCGUUACGAGAAUCCUUAUAUGGUAUGGUGUACCCGGCGUAUCACACGUACACUGGUGGGGACAUCCAGCCAUAGACCUGACUAGUGGAUAACGUUUAGAUUGGCUCCACGAUCGAUUGCGGUUUAAUCAAUAACUAUUUAUAUUUUUUUUAAACUUUGAAUUGUAAAUAUUUGAGCCUUAUAGUGUUUAACAACAUUAUUUUGCAAGACUUCGCUACAACAUCGCGGCCAUACCUGAUCGCAUUGCUCGGCUAUCUAUCGUACCUAUCGCCCGAGUCCCUACGACAUGUACGAAUGCCCGUGACUGGUGGUAGUAGUCACUUCAUGCUUAACUGAGCACGAGCGGAUCGGACAGCCAGAAGUACCGAACCUCCCCCUACCAUGCCACCGGGAGUCCCACGCCACUUCCCACUGCCAUGCACCCAGCUUUCCAGUCCAUCCAACCUCCCAUCACGUCUUCCUCCCAGCAGUUCACCACGCAUUAUGUCGGUGCUCCCCAGACUCAUGAAAAUCCAUCGCGAGCCAUCUGCAUCCUAACGUCCACCUGCGAUGCCAUCUAUAAUGUAUUCACAUCUGUCACAAUGAUGUGCCUCAUCAUCACGGUCCGAGUAGUUCGGGGUUAGACCACGUCGCACCCCCAUCGCCAUAUUACAUCUCCCUUCAUAUGAUAGGGCUCUCAUACUUGCAGUAGAGUGAGGAUGAGUUUGAUGGAUAUUUGACGCCAUUAUUGGCAUCUCGGGGCAGAUAGAGAUACUGUCCUCCGUAGAGGGGAUUUCACAGAUCACACGGCAGAGUCACACGCGACCCUGGAGCCAAGCCAGAAAAAGUCCAUAGCCACACAGCCACAGCCGACAGUCACAGCCACACAGACUAGGGACACUGCCAAUGUCCUUUUCACGUCGAUCAAGACCCCAGUAGAGAUGGAGGCCACCUCUAUGUGUACGGAGGCCAUGUGUAGUACUUUGGCUAUAUAAUCUUUUUUGCACACUUGAGAAUUACUAAACAAACUUGUUAUAUUUUUACUACCCAUGCGAUUGUUUUUGUUAUAAAUAAAUUUGUUUGUAGGCAUAAUUAAAUUUUUUGCAUCAUCUUCAUUAUGAUUUAUUCUAUCCUAUGUCCAUUUAUCUAAUUCAUACAAUUACUGGCAAAUUACAUGAUGAAUAUAAAAUUUAUUGUAGAGUCACGUGUUUUCAUCUUUCUAGGGAUUCAGGCUCAUACUUAUGUGAUGUCAUACAUACAUGCAUAUUCACGGGUGUGGCCUUCACGUCAAGGCUGUCAACCUUUGUGUAACGUGUCUUAUCAA